rnacentral:misc_RNA from 1 species
GAUGAAGAACGUAGUGAAAUGCGAUAAGUAGUGUGAAUUGCAGAAUUCCGUGAAUCAUCGAGUCUUUGAACGCACAUUGCGCCCCCUGGUAUUCCGGGGGGCAUGCCUGUCCGAGCGUCAUUGCAACCCUCAAGCACGGCUUGUCUAAUGGGCGGUUCGUCUGCGGCCAUCCGCCGGAGACGCCCCCGAAAUGCAGUGGGGAUGUUCGCUAAAUCGCAGCGUCAGGAAUGGAAAUAAACAAUGCUGACGGCUCGAUGUCGAACGUCCACCUAAGGCGUGCCGCCCCCCGGGGUGUGCCGCCCAACCUCUCUCGGUUGACCUCGGAUCAGGUAGGGAUACCCGCUGAACUUAAGCAUAUCAAUAAGCGGAGGA